ACUUUAUGUAAAGCAGCAGUGUCAGGUGAAGCUGAGGCGGCCAAAAGAGGCGGGACAUGCCCUCUCUCUCCGUGUCCGUCUCGUAUGUCCGUGAGUCCGUGUGUCCGUGCCGAGAGCCGUGGACUCCGGUCUCGGUGCAGCUGAGGACCGAUGGCGCGUGAAUCCCCUCGCCGCUGCGCGCUCGUGCCUCUCGCGCUGCUGCUCUUCGGGCUCGUGGCCAUCCUCCUGCUCACGCUGCCCACGAGGGACGUGCCCGAGGCGCCCGGCUUCAUGUAUGGGAUCGUGCUGGAUGCAGGCUCCUCUCACACUGCUCUGUACGUGUACAAGUGGAGAGCAGACAAGCAGAACGGCACCGGCAUCGUCACCCAGCACAGCGAGUGUCACGUCAAAGGUGGGGGCAUCUCGAGUUAUGCCGGGGAGCGUGGAGGAGCAGCUCGGAGUCUGGAGCCCUGUCUGAACCAGGCGAUGCAGGACGUGCCCAAAGAGAGACACCCCUCCACCCCCGUGUACCUGGGGGCCACCGCGGGCAUGAGGCUGCUGCAUAUCUUCAGUAGUCAGCAGUCGACUCAGAUCCUGCAGGAGGUGGAGCAGAAGCUGAGGUCGUACCCCUUUGACUUCAGGGGGGCGGCCAUUUUGAGUGGGGAGGAGGAGGGGGCGUACGGCUGGGUCACUGUCAACUAUCUGCUGGAAAACUUCAUCAAGUACAGUUUCGUGGGCCACUGGCUGAGUCCAGGCAGGGGCACUGUGGGGGCUCUAGACUUCGGCGGAGCGUCCACUCAGAUCACGUUUGCCACAGAGGACCGGGUGGAGGAUGAGAGGGACAGGGUCAGACUGCAGCUGUACGGUCAGCACUACACCCUGUACACCCACAGCUUCCUCUGCUACGGCCGCGACCAGGUGCUCAAGAGGAUCCUCGCUCAGUUGGUCAAGACACAGGGAACAUUGGGGCCCAUCAGUCACCCGUGUUACCCCUCUGGCCACAGUCAAAGGGUCUCUCUGAACAGCAUCUUCAACUCCCCCUGCACCUCCUCAUCCAGACCAGCAUCCUCUGACCCCAAGACUGACCCCAAGACUGACCCCCAGGUUGAGCUGACCGUCCAGGGCACUGGCCACUACGGGAACUGUGUGGGAAUCAUUAAUCAGAUCUUCUCGUUCGACCAGUGCUCUUUCUCUCGCUGUUCAUUCGAUGGAGUCUUCCAGCCCAAUGUCAGCGGCAACUUCAUGGCAUUCUCUGCUUUCUUCUACACUCACUCGUUCCUGCAAAAAGUGACUGGUGUUACCGUGACAACGCCUUCACAACUGGAAGAAGCCACCAAGCAGAUCUGCGGCCUGAAUUUUAACCAACUGCUUGCCCUGGCCCCAGAGCAGAAGUCCCGUCUGCAGGAUUACUGCGCCUCCGCUGUAUUUAUGCAGGUGCUGCUGCUCCGAGGAUACGGCUUCGAUCAAAUGUCUUUUCCACAAGUUUCAUUCCAGAAGAAGGCUGGCGGCACGUCGGUGGGCUGGGCUCUGGGCUACAUGCUGACUCUGAGUAACCUGCUGCCCGCUGAGAGCCCCCCUCUGAGAAAGGCCCUUACACCCGCGGCCUGGGGAACCCUGCUCUUCCUGGUGGUCCUGGUCCUGACGCUGGCUCUGGGGUGUGUGGUGGUGCGAGCCUGUGGAGGGAAGAAGGAGAGCAGCACCGAGAGCACCAUCUGAGACACAGCACUUAACUAAACUGGAAUGGACAGGCAUUUUAUAAGAAAAGAGAUUGCACUAAAAAACAAUGUACUGUUUUUUUUUACAUUUAGAAGUUCCAUAGUAUUUGAACUUCAGUUUUUACUGUUAGAGCAGGCUAGAGAACCCUUAUUGGUAUGAAAAUAUCCCCAGAACCCUAUAUUAUCCUCUGCACUGCAAUAAAAUUCAGAAGUUCUAAUGUUUAUUACCAAAUUUGGAUGAAAGUCUAAUUCCUCAUACUCCUUAUUGUGUGGGAUUAUAUAUUGUAAGAAACUGUAGGAUCCCCACUUUGAGAACCACUGUGUUAGAGUUUAUAUCAUGUUUUUAAAUAAUAUCUCAUAUUUAUUGCUUUAAAAUGGCUUUUUAUGUAAACUAACAAUGUGAAGAACCUGACCAACCAACUGUUAUAGACUUUUCGUAUGACUUUUUUAUGAGGCCUCGUUGUUAUAUAUGGAUAAUGUUAUUUGACACUGAAACUUGUAUUUUAGAAAACUGUGGUAUAUCAAAUCAAGGCAGCAAAGCAAGUCUGUGCUACUGACUGUGAUAAUGAUUGUGCACUGUAAAUAAAGUAAAUAUGUGUUUAUACAUCGGCCUACUAAUUAAACCUGGUGAAUAAAAAGAAGAAAUUAAUUC